rnacentral:rRNA from 1 species
GAUGAACGCUAGCGACAGGCUUAACACAUGCAAGUCGAGGGGCAGCAUAAAAGUAGCAAUACUUUGGUGGCGACCGGCGCACGGGUGAGUAACGCGUAUGCAACCUACCUAUCAGAGGGGAAUAACCCGGCGAAAGUCGGACUAAUACCGCAUAAAACAGGGGCACCGCAUGGUGAUAUUUGUUAAAGAGAUUCGCUGAUAGAUGGGCAUGCGUUCCAUUAGGUAGUUGGUGAGGUAACGGCUCACCAAGCCGACGAUGGAUAGGGGAACUGAGAGGUUGGUCCCCCACACUGGUACUGAGACACGGACCAGACUCCUACGGGAGGCAGCAGUGAGGAAUAUUGGUCAAUGGGCGAGAGCCUGAACCAGCCAAGUCGCGUGAAGGAAGAAGGAUCUAUGGUUCGUAAACUUCUUUUGCAGGGGAAUAAAGUGCAGGACGUGUCCUGUUUUGUAUGUACCCUGAGAAUAAGGAUCGGCUAACUCCGUGCCAGCAGCCGCGGUAACAC